GAGUUUGAUCCUGGCUCAGGAUGAACGCUAGCGGCAGGCUUAACACAUGCAAGUCGAGGGGUAACAGGGAGAGCUUGCUUUCCCCUGACGACCGGCGCACGGGUGCGUAACGCGUAUGCAACCUACCCUAUACUGGAGGAUAGCCCGAAGAAAUUCGGAUUAAUACUCCAUGGUAAUGUAAUAUCUCAUGGUAUAACAUUUAAAGAUUUAUCGGUAUAGGAUGGGCAUGCGUUAGAUUAGCUAGUUGGAGAGGUAACGGCUCACCAAGGCUACGAUCUAUAGGGGGCCUGAGAGGGUGAUCCCCCACACUGGUACUGAGACACGGACCAGACUCCUACGGGAGGCAGCAGUGAGGAAUAUUGGUCAAUGGAGGCAACUCUGAACCAGCCAUGCCGCGUGAAGGAUGAAGGCGUUCUGCGUUGUAAACUUCUUUUAUUUGGGAAGAAACCCUUCUACGUGUAGAAGGCUGACGGUACCAAACGAAUAAGCACCGGCUAACUCCGUGCCAGCAGCCGCGGUAAUACGGAGGGUGCGAGCGUUAUCCGGAAUCAUUGGGUUUAAAGGGUCCGCAGGCGGUAUUGUAAGUCAGUGGUGAAAGCCUACAGCUUAACUGUAGAACUGCCAUUGAAACUAUAGUACUUGAAUUCGGUCGAAGUUGGCGGAAUAUGUAGUGUAGCGGUGAAAUGCUUAGAUAUUACAUAGAACACCUAUAGCGAAGGCAGCUGACUAGACCUGGAUUGACGCUGAGGGACGAAAGCGUGGGGAGCGAACAGGAUUAGAUACCCUGGUAGUCCACGCCGUAAACGAUGGACACUCGCUAUCGGCGAUAUACUGUCGGUGGCUAAGCGAAAGUGAUAAGUGUCCCACCUGGGGAGUACGAUCGCAAGGUUGAAACUCAAAGGAAUUGACGGGGGCCCGCACAAGCGGUGGAGCAUGUGGUUUAAUUCGAUGAUACGCGAGGAACCUUACCAGGGCUUAAAUGCAUAUUGACAGUCCCCGAAAGGGGAUUUUCUUCGGACAAUUUGCAAGGUGCUGCAUGGCUGUCGUCAGCUCGUGCCGUGAGGUGUUGGGUUAAGUCCCGCAACGAGCGCAGCCCCUACCAUUAGUUGCCAGCAUUUCGGAUGGGGACUCUAAUGGAGCUGCCGGCGCAAGCCGCGAGGAAGGUGGGGACGACGUCAAGUCAUCACGGCCCUUACGUCCUGGGCUACACACGUGCUACAAUGGUGCAUACAGAGGGCAGCUACCUGGUGACAGGAUGCGAAUCUCUAAAGUGCAUCUCAGUUCGGAUCGAAGUCUGCAACUCGACUUCGUGAAGCUGGAAUCGCUAGUAAUCGGGUAUCAGCCAUGAUCCGGUGAAUACGUUCCCGGGCCUUGUACACACCGCCCGUCAAACCAUGGAAUCUGGGGGUGCCUGAAGUUCGUGACCGCAAGGAGCGACCUAGGGUAAAACCGGUAACUAGGGUUAAGUCGUAACAAGGUAGCCGUAUCGGAAGGUGCGGCUGGAUCACCUCCUUUCU
rnacentral:rRNA from 1 species